CCUACGGGAGGCAGCAGUGGGGAAUAUUGCGCAAUGGGCGAAAGCCUGACGCAGCGACGCCGCGUGAGGGAUGAAGGUCUUCGGAUCGUAAACCUCUGUCAGCAGGGAAGAACGGUCACUGUGCUAAUCAGCAGUGAAUUGACGGUACCUGCAAAGGAAGCACCGGCUAACUCCGUGCCAGCAGCCGCGGUAAUCCGGAGGGUGCGAGCGGUAAUCGGAAUUACUGGGCGUAAAGCGCUCGUAGGCGGGAUGUCAAGUCAAGGGUGAAAUCCCCGCGCUCAACGUGGGAACUGCCUUUGAAACUGGCAAACUGGAGUGUGUGAGAGGAUAGUGGAAUUCCAGGUGUAGGAGUGAAAGCCGUAGAUAUCUGGAGGAACAUCAGUGGCGAAGGCGACUAUCUGGCACAUAACUGACGCUGAGGAGCGAAAGCGUGGGUAGCAAACAGGAUUAGAUACCCUAGUAGUC
rnacentral:rRNA from 1 species